rnacentral:misc_RNA from 1 species
UCCAAGUCUAGAGCCACACUGCCUG